rnacentral:rRNA from 1 species
CCCAGUUCGGACUGCAGUCUGCGACUCGACUGCACGAAGCUGGAAUCGCUAGUAAUCGCGGAUCAGAAUGCCGCGGUGAAUACGUUCCCGGGUCUUGUACACACCGCCCGUCACACCAUGGGAGUCGGAAAUGCCCGAAGUCUGUGACCCAACCAUUAAGGAGGGAGCAGCCGAAGGCAGGUCGGAUGACUGGGGUGAAGUCGUAACAAGGUAGC